rnacentral:rRNA from 1 species
AUUGAACGCUGGCGGCGUGCCUUACACAUGCAAGUCGAACGGCAGCACGGGAGCAAUCCUGGUGGCGAGUGGCGAACGGGUGAGUAAUAUAUCGGAACGUGCCCAGUUGUGGGGGAUAGCCCGGCGAAAGCCGGAUUAAUACCGCAUACGACCUACGGGUGAAAGCGGGGGAUCGCAAGACCUCGCGCAAUUGGAGCGGCCGAUAUCAGAUUAGCUAGUUGGUGGGGUAAAAGCUCACCAAGGCGACGAUCUGUAGCUGGUCUGAGAGGACGACCAGCCACACUGGGACUGAGACACGGCCCAGACUCCUACGGGAGGCAGCAGUGGGGAAUUUUGGACAAUGGGCGCAAGCCUGAUCCAGCCAUGCCGCGUGUGGGAAGAAGGCCUUCGGGUUGUAAACCACUUUUGUCAGGGAAGAAACGGUCCUUACUAAUAUUAGGGGCUAAUGACGGUACCUGAAGAAUAAGCACCGGCUAACUACGUGCCAGCAGCCGCGGUAAAUACGUAGGGUGCAAGCGUUAAUCGGAAUUACUGGGCGUAAAGCGUGCGCAGGCGGCUAUCAAGACAGAUGUGAAAUCCCCGGGCUCAACCUGGGAACUGCAUUUGUGACUGCAUGGCUAGAGUACGGUAGAGGGGGAUGGAAUUCCGCGUGUAGCAGUGAAAAUGCGUAGAUAUGCGGAGGAACACCGAUGGCGAAGGCAAUCCCCUGGACCUGUACUGACGCUCAUGCACGAAAAGCGUGGGGGAGCAAAACAGGAUUAGAUACCCUGGUAG